CCUACGGGUGGCAGCAGUGGGGAAUAUUGCACAAUGGGGGAAACCCUGAUGCAGCGACGCCGCGUGAGUGAAGAAGGAUUUCUGUAUGUAAAGCUCUAUCAGCAGGGAAGAAAAUGACGGUACCUGAAUAAGAAGCCACGGCUAACUACGUGACAGCAGCCGCGGUAAUACGUAGGGGGCAAGCGUUAUCCGGAUUUACUGGGUGUAAAGGGAGCGUAGACGGCAGCACAAGUCUGGAGUGAAAUGCCGGGGCUUAACCCCGGAACUGCCUUUGAAACUGUGCAGCGAGAGUGCAGGAGAGGUAAGUUGAAUUCCUAGUGUAGCGGUGCACUGCGUAGAUAUUAGGCGGAACACCAGUGGCGAAGGCGGCUUACUGGACUGUAACUGACGUUGAGGCUCGAACGCGUGGGGAGCAAACAGGAUUAGAUACCCUAGUAGUC
rnacentral:rRNA from 1 species